UGCCUUAAAAACAGUGCCCAACAGUGAACUGCCCCUCCGAGGACUUGAGCAGUGUCAUCAUUAGGCUGUCUUUGUGCCUUAACAGUAUUGAUCAGGUAUUGUAAUAGAGAUUUUGAUGAUGAGAAGAUCCUUAUUCAGCACCAAAAAGCAAAGCAUUUUAAAUGCCAUAUAUGUCACAAGAAAUUGUAUACAGGACCUGGCUUAGCUAUUCAUUGCAUGCAGGUACAUAAAGAAACAAUAGAUGCCGUACCAAAUGCAAUACCUGGAAGAACAGACAUAGAGUUGGAAAUAUAUGGUAUGGAAGGUAUUCCAGAAAAAGACAUGGAUGAAAGACGACGACUUCUUGAACAGAAAACACAAGAAAGUCAAAAAAAGAAGCAACAAGAUGAUUCUGAUGAAUAUGAUGAUGACGACUCUGCAGCCUCAACU
ensembl:lncRNA novel transcript